rnacentral:rRNA from 1 species
GACGAACGCUGGCGGCGUGCUUAACACAUGCAAGUCGAACGGAAAGGCCCUGCUUUUGUGGGGUGCUCGAGUGGCGAACGGGUGAGUAACACGUGAGUAACCUGCCCUUGACUUUGGGAUAACUUCAGGAAACUGGGGCUAAUACCGGAUAGGAGCUCCUGCUGCGUGGUGGGGGUUGGAAAGUUUCGGCGGUUUGGGAUGGACUCGCGGCUUAUCAGCUUGUUGGUGGGGUAGUGGCUUACCAAGGCUUUGACGGGUAGCCGGCCUGAGAGGGUGACCGGCCACAUUGGGACUGAGAUACGGCCCAGACUCCUACGGGAGGCAGCAGUGGGGAAUAUUGCACAAUGGGCGGAAGCCUGAUGCAGCAACGCCGCGUGCGGGAUGACGGCCUUCGGGCUGUAAACCGCUUUCGCCUGUGACGAAGCGUGAGUGACGGUAAUGGGUAAAGAAGCACCGGCUAACUACGUG